rnacentral:tRNA from 1 species
CACUAGGAAGCUAAACCGGAAAGCAUUAGCCUUUUAAGCUAAAGAAUGGUGAUUACCAACCACCCCUAAUGA